rnacentral:tRNA from 1 species
UAUGUUUUAUUAUAUAAUGUAUAAAAGUUUUUGAUACUUUAGGUAAUGGUUUGAUCCCAUUAAACAUAA